rnacentral:rRNA from 1 species
CCUGCUUUCAGUUGCUACCGGGUCAUGCCGAGCACUCUGAAAGGACUGCCCAGGAUAACGGGGAGGAAGGUGGGAUGACGUCAAGUCAGCAUGGCCUUUAUGCCUGGGGCCACACACGUGCUACAAUGGCCGGUACAAAGCGCUGCAAAC